rnacentral:lncRNA from 1 species
GACCCGGGCCACAGAAAUACACACGGUGGAACCCACUAGAGAGCAGAACCUUCAUUGUAGCUUGCGAAAACACCAUUCCUGAAGGUCAUCGACAUGGGAGGUGUUUCACGAAACACAACUGGGACCAUGUGAUUGCGCUAUUUAACUCUAUCUAUGGCCACAACUGGAGCAAACAACAACUUUGCAACCACUGGGACCAAUGCGUCGAGACAAAAAAGGUCUCUCCGAGGAAUAAUGGACCAGAAGAAUUAAGGUAACCAGAUUCGUUUUCGAACAGCAUUAGUAUGGUUUUCCUAAAUUGCCAAACCCGUUCUCCAAGUAAAGUGGGAAUUUAUGUAUAAAUACACAUUUAGCAUUUGCUGCAUAAAUGGUGUGGGAAUUUAUAUAUUAAUACACAUUUUGCACCUUUCUGCAUAAACCCUUUUUUUGUGAGUUCGUAAUUGUGUCUCAUAUUGUGUUUUUCCAGUCUCCAAUUUAAUGCAAAUAUACAUAUUCUACGUUAUUCGGUUACGAGAGAAACAUGGUAUUCAAUGGUAAAAGACUGUGACGUGUUCUUCAUGUACAACUUCCUACUGCAUAGAAAAAAAUGUAUGUUUCUAUGAAUUUGUAAUUUGAUUUCUAUCAUUACUGAUACACCUCAAUGGAUUGUGAGUUGUGUUUUGCUACCACUGAUUUAUGACGCUCUCAAUUACUUUCGUGUAGUUUGGAAAUAAUACGUAAAUGCCGCUACAUUUGAACCUGUUAGCAAUAGGUCCCCUGCAUAAAAAAUGUUCUUAUGCACCCUUCAUACUACUACGAUAUUUCAAAAGCUUACCGCUUCGAACUCUAUUUUUAGAGAAGCCGAUAUCUUGCAUUUUUCGGAUUGUACAUAUCUUUUGUGUUUCCUCCAUAAGUCGUAUCGGUGUAUUUGUUUAACCCUUUGUUGCAGGAGAACAAGGAGUACAGAGAUUUCAACGACAAAGAUGUUAGUGAGAUUUACAUUUGUUAUCUCAACUAUUGAACUACAGUUACGAAGGCGACAAGUACACAAAAGUUGUGUGGAACGGGCUUCGAGCUAUUUGAGGACAGUGUGAUCAAAGACCACAGGGAUGCAAUUCCUAUCAAUGGGGAGAGCAGCGAUUCGAGUAAUGAGGGAGACACUGGAAACGAUAAAUUAAGCAUGAACGUUUCCAAUGCCAAAAGUGGCGAGAAAAGGAAAUUGCCCUUAAAGAAGCAAAAGGGAAAGAGAAACAAACUUUCUACACGUAAAUUGUCGGUCUCUAUCGAUCGGGGCAACAGUGCAUUCGAGGAAGUGGCGACAAAGAUCAAUACCAUUAUGGCUCCGACCGAGAAUGAAGAAGUUGCAUGUGUUGAAGAGUUGCUUGCAACUGGAUGACUCAAGCAUCGAACACCUUUGUACUUUUAUGCAUGUACGCUCUUAGCACAAAAGCAUUAUUGUGAUAUGCUCGGUGUCAUGAGAGAUGCAAACGAAAAUUUUGAAUGGACUGAAUGAUAGUUCAAUGAGCAUAAC